UACGUAGGGCGCGAGCGUUGUCCGGAAUUAUUGGGCGUAAAGAGCUCGUAGGCGGCCUGUCGCGUCCGCUGUGAAAACCCGGGGCUUAACCCCGGGCCUGCAGUGGAUACUAGCUGGCUGGAGGCAGGCAGGGGAGAGCGGAAUUCCCGGUGUAGCGGUGAAAUGCGCAGAUAUCAGGAGGAACACCGGUGGCGAAGGCGGGUCUCUGGGCAGAUACUGACGCUGAGGAGCGAAAGCGUGGGGAGCGAACAGG
rnacentral:rRNA from 1 species